GCCAUCCCACCCGGUCCCCGGUGAGGGGUUGGACAGGCUUCCCCCGGUCUGGAAGAGCAUCCCGACCCCCGGCUGCAUCCGGGAUGAGCGAGUGGUUUGAUACGAGAGGGGCAGACGGGUAGCUGGAAGUAAUUUGGUGAAGGGACAGGAUGACUUCUGUUGAGCCCUGGCCUCAGGGACUGCUGUGUCCAGGAGACAGGCUGGGCGGAACAGUUUGCCUUGGGGAACUGGAUGACCAGCCAGUGAGCACAUGACUUUCAUACGUGGAGAGGUGUUACCAAAGCCAGGAGCUGGUGUCCUUUACUGCCUGUUGUACCUAUAUGAUGUUCCUCAUGUCUCCCCCUACAUGUCCAUGAAGGUCCUGGAGGAAUCUCAGCACUGUGCCACAUGGGCCCUGUCCUCUUGUGAAGGAACGCAUAUGAAAAAAACACAUGGAAGUGGCAGCUUUUUUCAGACUGGAUGCCUGGCUAACAUGGGUCUGAGGCUGGCAGGUAGGAAGGGGAAUGCAGCUUCACUAGUUGUCGUGUUUUAACCCCAGCUGGCAACUAAG